rnacentral:rRNA from 1 species
AAAACGACUCUCGGCAACGGAUAUCUCGGCUCUCGCAUCGAUGAAGAACGUAGCUAAAUGCGAUACUUGGUGUGAAUUGCAGAAUCCCGUGAACCAUCGAGUCUUUGAACGCAAGUUGCGCCCCAAGCCUUCACAAUGGCCGAGGGCACGUCUGCCUGGGUGUCACAA